rnacentral:rRNA from 1 species
UACGUAGGGGGCUAGCGUUGUCCGGAAUCAUUGGGCGUAAAGAGCGUGUAGGCGGUCCGGUAAGUCCGUUGUGAAAGUCAGGGGCUCAACCCUUGAAUGCCGGCGGAUACUGUCGGGCUAGAGUCCGGAAGAGGCGAGUGGAAUUCCCGGUGUAGCGGUGAAAUGCGCAGAUAUCGGGAGGAACACCUAUGGCGAAGGCAGCUCGCUGGGACGUGACUGACGCUGAGACGCGAAAGCGUGGGGAGCAAACAGG